rnacentral:rRNA from 1 species
AGUGAACGCUGGCGGCAGGCCUAACACAUGCAAGUCGAACGGCAGCACAGGAGAGCUUGCUCUCUGGGUGGCGAGUGGCGGACGGGUGAGGAAUACAUCGGAAUCUACCUUUUCGUGGGGGAUAACGUAGGGAAACUUACGCUAAUACCGCAUACGACCUUAGGGUGAAAGCGGAGGACCUUCGGGCUUCGCGCGGAUAGAUGAGCCGAUGUCGGAUUAGCUAGUUGGCGGGGUAAAGGCCCACCAAGGCGACGAUCCGUAGCUGGUCUGAGAGGAUGAUCAGCCACACUGGAACUGAGACACGGUCCAGACUCCUACGGGAGGCAGCAGUGGGGAAUAUUGGACAAUGGGCGCAAGCCUGAUCCAGCCAUGCCGCGUGGGUGAAGAAGGCCUUCGGGUUGUAAAGCCCUUUUGUUGGGAAAGAAAAGCAGUCGGUUAAUACCCGAUUGUUCUGACGGUACCCAAAGAAUAAGCACCGGCUAACUUCGUGCCAGCCGCCGCAGUAA